CUUUUCAAGAGCUGUGGGUGGAUUAGAGUGGGGAUUUAAUCGCGAUUGGAGGGUUAGAGUGGGGUUUAAAUCGCGAUUGGAGAGACCAGCGUGUUUAGAGGAGGUUCGUCUCACCUGCGCGGCACCCGCCGGUGACCGCUACUCCAGCGCGCGCUAGGGCGCGCCGCGCCGCCGAGGGCGAGGUGGAGCGGAGAGGCCGACGUGUCCAGAGGAGGGAUCCGUGCUGCACCCACGUACGUCUGCGUCCCGCCAGCGGCCGCUUGCUCCGGCGUGCGCUCUGGCGCCGCUCCGCCGCGCCUCGGGAGACGAGGGAGGUCAAACACUAGACGAGUAGACGUAGCCAGUGGAGGUAGUGGUGGCGCUCAGUGGAGGAGGAGGCGGCGGUCCUUAGGGUAGCUGCCGUUCCAUUGACGGGAGGGGCCAGUAGUGCGGGACGAACGACGCACACACACCACACGACACACCCACGAAUUACGACUCACGAAAGGUCGAACAGCGACUACCGGGCGACAACAACGAAACAACAUAUCAUCAUACUAAAAACUCAGUCUGAUACUAGGUACGUGAAUUCCCUUCCCUAAUACUACGACGACUUGACCCUCAGGAAAUAGAACUUCGGUCUUCAAACCAUAACCGACUACAAGGGGAAUCGCAAACCCGUAAAGUUCGGGGAAUGAAUUCGCUAAAUGCACACGUGUUCAAAUUCACCUUAUGUAAAAAGACAAGUUCUUUUUGAACGAAAUAAUUAAACAAAAUAGACCGCUACUUCACUACCACGUGCUCCUGCCUGAAGGAUCUAUUCUUUUACAGACACGAGAAGAGCUACCACGUUUCAACUCCUACCACGACUUUAAAACCCUCUCUACCUCUUGUACCUCGGAACCCAUCGACUUCAUGUAGGAAGGAAUUCGCAUUCUACGCAAGACCAAGUAUCCAUUUAGUACUUCGUUUUGAAACAACGAAAAAGUUAAAAAGAGAUACUUCGUUCUACCAGACGUAAAAUUGUCAUGUGCUUAUAUUUUAUCCCUACCAAUUUUGUUACCGAGUUCAAAACUAAACUAUCAAUUUUGUUACAAUUUUUUAUCCUAACAAAACACGAGAGAAGCCUAUAAUUAGGUUAAUCCGAAUCGCCAUAUACUUACGUGUUCGAGAAAUCCUUUCGGUUUUCUCUUUUACCUUUUGAUAAUGUACAGAUAAACAGGUUUGUUGCAUUUAGCUCUGAAGAUAGAACGGUUUUGGAGAAUAAUAACGCAAGUAAAAGAAGGAUAACAAAUGUAACAGUGGAGAAACAACCAACAACAAACCACGGUUCCGGUAAUCUUUUCUCAUUACGGAGUUUGUUCCAUCAAGACUUCUAUCUUGAGUCCCAUCGAUGGUAGCUACUACGAAAGGUCGUUCGAGGACCCACUGAUGAGCUACGGCUGGUAACAACCAAAGGAAGUACCGAUAACAUUUUACUACUAAGUAUAUAGUGUACGAGAAAUAACCAUAACCGUACGGACAUAGUGAAGUGAAAACAAGGAAAGAAUCCCCAACGUUCUUUGUAUAUGAUUACCAAUGCCCGUCUCCUCGUUUAUUCUCUUUAAUGUUACAGUGUUGAUAAGAGUCAAUACUCUUAUGACUUUGCCUAUAUCUGACUACUCUACUACAAGUAUGUACAACUUCGUCCAAAGCCUUUCUUCAUUACCUAUAUCUUGAUUGAUACGAGUAGGACAACCAUCCUGUAAGAGUAUCUAGCAAAAAAAAGAACAAGACCAACAGUAUACGAUUUCCGACACAUGGAUACUUUUUUCUUCUAUGAAGUUUAAAAAAUACAUCAUGAACCACAUACACACGAGUACUCCACAGGCCCAUGAGUACUACAUUGUAAUCUAAAAACAAUACAAGAUUAAAAGAAUGGGAACGUCAUGGUUGUUACAUAUGUCAUGAGGCUAUGACGAUCGCUUCACUAAAAAGAAAAUUAACAAAAAGGUGCCCUAAAACACACUACUAGUGGCUUAUUGAAUUUAUGGAAAAGUCAUUACUGAAACCUAUUUCUGCUUCGUCUCUUGUACUAGAACCACUCCCGUAGAGUUACCUCUACUCUCUCACAACGUGUCCACCUAAAUAACAAAACCCCUUUAUCUUUUUUUAGAACGAACCAAGAAUAUAAGAGAAAGACUACAUAAAAAAUACAUAAUAAUCGUACCUUAUCUACUAUCUAUGGAGUGUGUAUCCAAACUUGAAUAUAUGCAAAGUAUUAUACCAACCUGUAACGACAGAAUAUGUAAUACAAAGUAAAAAAGAGUGUUAAUACGUGGG
rnacentral:rRNA from 1 species